UGCUAUUUUUAACGUUUUUCUUAUCUCCUCUUUUCUGUUCUUCCGUUGUCGUCGUUUCGAACAGCGCCAGACUGGAGAUUCUCAAUUUUUCUGAUAUUCCACUUGGCAAACUUGUCUCAAGUCUGCCCAAGUUCCUAGGCCAGAUACGUUUGGUCGU